GCGCUAAUACCGCAUACGACCUAAGGGUGAAAGCGGGGGACCGUAAGGCCUCGCGCUAUUGGAGCGGCCGAUGUCUGAUUAGCUAGUUGGCGGGGUAAGAGCCCACCAAGGCGACGAUCAGUAGCUGGUCUGAGAGGACGAUCAGCCACACUGGGACUGAGACACGGCCCAGACUCCUACGGGAGGCAGCAGUGGGGAAUUUUGGACAAUGGGCGAAAGCCUGAUCCAGCAAUGCCGCGUGUGCGAAGAAGGCCUUCGGGUUGUAAAGCACUUUUGUCAGGGAAGAAAUCUUCUGAGCUAAUACCUCGGGAGGAUGACGGUACCUGAAGAAUAAGCACCGGCUAACUACGUGCCAGCAGCCGCGGUAAUACGUAGGGUGCAAGCGUUAAUCGGAAUUACUGGGCGUAAAGCGUGCGCAGGCGGUUUGUUAAGACAGUCGUGAAAUCCCCGGGCUCAACCUGGGAACUGCGAUUGUGACUGGCAGGCUAGAGUACGGCAGAGGGGGGUAGAAUUCCUGGUGUAGCAGUGAAAUGCGUANAGAUCAGGANGAAUACCGAUGGCGAAGGCAGCCCCCUGGGCUAG
rnacentral:rRNA from 1 species